rnacentral:rRNA from 1 species
GAUGAACGCUGGCGGCGUGCUUAACACAUGCAAGUCGAACGGUGAAGGCGGAGCUUGCUCUGCUGGAUCAGUGGCGAACGGGUGAGUAACACGUGAGCAAUCUGCCCCUGACUCUGGGAUAAGCGCUGGAAACGGCGUCUAAUACUGGAUACGAGCUGCGAAGGCAUCUUCAGCAGCUGGAAAGAACUUCGGUCAGGGAUGAGCUCGCGGCGUAUCAGCUUGUUGGUGAGGUAACGGCUCACCAAGGCGUCGACGGGUAGCCGGCCUGAGAGGGUGACCGGCCACACUGGGGCUGAGACACGGCCCAGACUCCUACGGGAGGCAGCAGUGGGGAAUAUUGCACAAUGGGCGAAAGCCUGAUGCAGCAACGCCGCGUGGGGGACGACGGCCUUCGGGUUGUAAACCUCUUUUAGCAGGGAAGAAGCGAAAGUGACGGUACCUGCAGAAAAAGCGCCGGCUAACUACGUG